rnacentral:tRNA from 1 species
CAUUAAGUGGCUGAAAUCAUAAGCAUUGGUCUCUUAAACCAAAUUAUAGUAUUAAUAUUACUCUUAAUGG